GACAGAGGCCUCGAGCGUUAGGCGGAAUCACUGGGCUUAAAGCGUGUGUAGGCGGACGCCUAAGUACCUUGUGAAAUCCCACGGCUCACCCGUGGAACCGCUGGGUAUACUAGGCGUCUUGGGCCAUUCAGGGGCAACUGGAACAAGCGGUGGAGCGGUGAAAUGCGUAGAUAUCGCUUGGAACGCCGACGGUGAAAACAGGUUGCUGGGAAUGUGCCGACGCUGAGACACGAAAGCCAGGGGAGCAAACGGG
rnacentral:rRNA from 1 species